UUCCCAGACUUCAGAUCUGUUAUACUGUGUACACGUCGUUUCGUAUUAUAUUCCAAGCACUAUUGGCGACCCAUGCAUCGUACGUUGACAGUGGCGCACGUUCCUAGAUGUGUGUGUCUAAUAUGUAUACGACAAUAUAUGUAUAUCGCCUACUAUGUAGCCGUUCGGAACAUCUCUCGCUCGCACGCAUUUCUCACACAGUCAUACGCAUUCUUUUCUGUCAUCUUCAAGCAGAGGCUACGCGAGCGUUGAAGCUGCAUUGCGUGGCUGCGUAUAAAAUGACAUAUACAUUUGCAUUGUACGCAUAACGCUCGUGUAGCCCCGGCCUAAGUCCAAGUCUAGUUAUUUAGGUUGACGAGCGAAAUGCAUACGGUGUUCCAUUAUGACUUCUUGCUUGUUAUAUUAUGAUUGAGGAGAUAAAAAUUAAUGAAUCACCGUGUGCGUGAACGCAAAUAGAAACCGAAUAAAGGAUAAACAAAUAACGGAGAAAGUGCACACGUCAUUGGCUAUCCGAUAAAUAGUCGUUUCCUAAAAAAACUCUUUUUUAGUCUCUAGCGCGGUUACUUACCGGACAAUUAUUGUAUUUCUACAACGGUCGUCGGUUUAAAGUUUUAUCCCAGUGUCUCUAGUGUCUAAAUUAACGAACAUGAUACAUGUAACUGAUCUUAUACAAAAUAAUAUAAUGGCUGCGACGAUAUAACAUUGCAACGUCCGUCGUAACGUCCGUCGUUUCUACACUCGUGUAAUACCAGCCUAAAUUAAACAAAUAAAUGCUAAAAAAGAUGUAAUCUUCUCUUUUUGUUUCCGGCAGAUUUCCUCUUUCUGUUUCACAUCUACUUCCAUGAAUUUUCUAUUUUUAUUUUAUAUAUAUCAUAUUUUCCACGUUUCAGUCCUAGUUUGAUGCCUCCCGAUUUCCAUUUAUUCCCCUCACUUUAUUUAUUUCCACACUGUGUGCAAGAGAUCACGUGCAGUGGGACUGUGAUUCUGGCACCAUGCACAUCAUAAAUUUAUACCAUGCCUUAAGGAGAUCUUACGGGCCGCGAUCUCAGGAAGAAUCUUUUUCGACUACGAAGCCAGUCUUUGCCUACUCUCGCGAAUGAAGUAAUACUAUUCCACUCUCAAAUUUCGAGUUUCCUUUAUCAUUUUUACCAGUUUUCAACCUACUUUAUAUUUUACUUGUAUAACACGGUUUUUUACGACGCUGUGGCAAAUUUUAUAAAAUGAUGCACUUGUUAUUUACAGGAAAAUAAAUAAGCAAAGACAUGUAUUAUAUGCAAAUUGUUGUAUUUCUCUUUGAACUCGAAAUGCGCAUCUGUCAUUGUUGCACACCACCGCCCUCUCUGUCUAGAAUCGUUCAUAUAGGCUGUCCUUGUCGCACAAUCUUGCGUUCUUUGCGUACGGAUAAAUCAUGUAAUGCCAUCUAUCCUCACAUGCUCCAAGUCGCUGUUCCUCCCGCCUUCAAUAGAUAUCAGAACAUGGUUUGUCAGUAGACAAAAAGCACAAGGUUGUGCGACAAGCAUAAACGAUAUUGCCAUCUAUCUUUACAUGCUGCAGUCGCUGUUCCUUUCGCUUUUAUAGAUAUCAGCACAUGCUUUGUCCGUGGGACAAGGAAUACAUUAGUAUGUCAGAUAAAAGGUGCCAUACUGUGCAACAAGGACAGAUGUAUAUCUUCUGUUAGAUGAAGACAGCAAUAGUGUACGACAAGGACAUACAAUACGAGCGAUACUAGACGAGAAGGUUUUGCAAUUCUUAAUGUUAUCAUUGUAUUAUAUCAGUAUGUUUCGCAGCAUUUAAGAUUUGUAACAACUGUAUUAUUUGUACAUACCUUGUUAUUGAAUAUAAACUUUUAAAUACAAAUUCUCAUUAAUAUUUAAAUUUCUUUUUGCCAUUAAACAAGUAAAAAAAACAAUACAAAACUAUUAAUUUAUUCCUGGCGAAUUUGUGUUACGGAGACGAUCACUGCCCGCAACUUUUAGACGUUGCAGCAGUGAGGGCAACCGCAGGAUGUUGAAAGCCAUUCAUUCGUGACAAAUUUAGGCUUCGAGGAUUUUUGUAUAGACGAUCCAGCAUACGACAUAAAUUUUAAACGACGCCCUGCCGUGCUACGCGCCUAUUACAAGGCAACCAUCCACGCAGCCUACAUUUUUCUUCCAUCUCACUCAUGUAAAUAUGUAUAUAUACACAUACAUAGUUUUAAGGCGGAUUGUAAACGGAUUUGUAAACGUAAUUUACAAGAAUUUCAUUAUAAAAGUUAUUUUUAAAUAGAAUUGAAUAAGAAUGUCAUAAGACGUGUAGAGUUAUUUAAUUAAGAUAUAUUAAUAUUCGUAAUAGAAUUAUAUAAUUUAUAUAAUUUCUACACUGUACAUUACUGAAAGGUUUCAAUAAACGUUUAAUUAAAGUUAA